rnacentral:rRNA from 1 species
UUCGGUUGGAUCCUGCCGGACCCGACUGCUAUCAGAAUAGGACUAAGCCAUGCGAGUCAACGUAGCAAUACGUGGCAUACGGCUCAGUAACACGUAGUCAACAUGCCCAGGGGACGUGGAUAACCUCGGGAAACUGAGGAUAAACCGCGAUAGGUCAAAAUAUCUGGAAUGAUUUUUGGCUAAAAUCUAUAUGGCCCCCGGAUUGGACUGCGGCCGAUCAGGCUGUUGGUGAGGUAAUGGCCCACCAAACCUAAAACCGGUACGGGCUCUGAGAGGAGAAGCCCGGAGAUGGGCACUGAGACAAGGGCCCAGGCCCUAUGGGGCGCAGCAGGCGCGAAAACUCUGCAAUAAGCGAAAGCUUGACAGGGUUAUUCUGAGUGAUUUCCGCUAAGGAAAUCUUUUGGCACCUCUAAAAAUGGUGCAGAAUAAGGGGUGGGCAAGCCUGGUGUCAGCCGCCGCGGUAAUACCAGCACCCCGAGUGGUCGGGACGAUUAUUGGGCCUAAAGCAUCCGUAGCCGGUUCUACAAGUCUUCCGUUAAAUCCACCUGCUUAACAGAUGGGCUGCGGAGGAUACUAUGGAGCUAGGAGGCGGGAGAGGCAAGCGGUACUUAGUGGGUAGGGGUAAAAUCCGUUGAUCCAUUGAAGACCACCAGUGGCGAACGCGGCUUGCCAGAACGCACUCGACGGUGAGGGAUGAAAGCUGGGGGAGCAAACCGGAUUAGAUACCCGGGUAGUCCCAGCUGUAAACGAUGCAGACUCGGUGA